UAAGUAGGCGGUGGAAAAUGAACCAAAUGGGAUUCCUUAAGUAAUUGCGAAUGAACAAGGAACUGCUCAGCUUGAAAAUUGGGGCCUUCGGCCUUGAAUUGUAAUUUUGAAAUGUAUUGCCAAUGGAGGCGCAGGUGCAAGCCUAUUGAAAGAAAGCGUCAAUGAGGGUGAGAUUCCUUUUUGUCAUUUGCAGUCCUCCGUGCACGGUAUAUAUUUGACGAGUCACACUCCUUGGCAUUGGAAUGCAAAGUGGGUGGUAAAUUCCAUGUAAAGGAAAAUAUAUUAUUGAGACUGAUAGCAAACAAGUACCAUGAGGGAAAUAUGAAAAGGACUUUGAAAAGAGAAUUAAAAGAGUCUGCAUUUGCUGAACAGAAAGCAAACAGAAUUGAUCUACUUGGUGAGAUUGUUGCGUCCACUUGUGGGUGCAAUGGUUCUUGCCUUGAAUGUCAGCGUCUAUUUCUGCAAAUUAUUACCCUUGCAUAUGAAUUGUAAUUUGCCUGUGGGCAUUGGAAUGCAUGUGUUUGCAAUGAUUUGUGAUUUGAUACAUGUGUCUGGUGUUCGCGUGUGUGCCUUCUUGCUAACACGGGGAGGGCUCUCCUCCCUGGGCACUGCAUGCCCUUGCAC
rnacentral:rRNA from 1 species